UACGUAGGUCCCGAGCGUUGUCCGGAUUUAUUGGGCGUAAAGCGAGCGCAGGUGGUUUAUUAAGUCUGGUGUAAGAGGCAGUGGCUCAACCAUUGUAUGCAUUGGAAACUGGUAGACUUGAGUGCAGGAGAGGAGAGUGGAAUUCCAUGUGUAGCAGUGAAAUGCGUAGAUAUAUGGAGGAACACCGGUGGCGAAAGCGGCUCUCUGGCCUGUAACUGACACUGAGGCUCGAAAGCGUGGGGAGCAAACAGG
rnacentral:rRNA from 1 species